AGCGAACGCUGGCGGCAGGCCUAACACAUGCAAGUCGAACGAACUCUUCGGAGUUAGUGGCGGAAGGGUGAGUAACACGUGGGAACGUGCCUUUUGGUUCGGAAUAACUCAGGGAAACUUGUGCUAAUACCGAAUGUGCCCUUCGGGGGAAAGAUUUAUCGCCAUUAGAGCGGCCUGCGUCUGAUUAGCUAGUUGGUGAGGUAACGGCUCACCAAGGCGACGAUCAGUAGCUGGUCUGAGAGGAUGACAAGCCACACUGGGAGUGAGACACGGCCAGGACUCUUACGGGAGGCAGGAGUGGGGAAUCUUGAGCAAUGGGCGAAAGCCUGACGCAGCCAUGCCGCGUGAAUGAUGAAGGUCUUAGGAUUGUAAAAUUCUUUCACCGGGGACGAUAAUGACGGUACCCUGAGAAGAAGCCCCGGCUAACUUCGUG
rnacentral:rRNA from 1 species